rnacentral:rRNA from 1 species
CCCGACUGCUAUUUGGGUGAGGAUAAGCCAUGCGAGUUGAAUGGGAUACCUAAAUUUCCCAUGGCAAACUGCUCAGUAACACAUGAUCAACUUACCCUAUAGAGAAAAAUAACCUCGGGAAACUGAGGAUAAUAUUUCAUAGUUGAAUAGGCUUGGAAAAGUUUUUCAAUAAAAGGGAUAAAAAAAAUGGUUUUUAUCUGCUAUAGGAUAGGAUCGUGGACGAUUAUGGUUGUUGGUGAGGUAACGGCUCACCAAGCCGAUAUCGAUAGGGCCGUGAGAGCGGGAGCCCCGAGAUGGUACUGAGACACGACCAGCCUUACGAGGCGCAGCAGCGCGGAACUCCGCAAUACACGAAAGUGUGACGGGUUACCCAAAGUGUUCAAUUCUGAACUGUGGUAGGUGAGUAAUGUCCCCUACUAGAAAGAGAGGGCAAGGCUGGUGCCAGCCGCCGCGGUAAAACCAGCUCUUCAAGUGGUCGGGAUAAUUAUUGGGCUUAAAGUGUCCGUAGCCGGUUUAGUAAGUUCCUGGUAAACCGGGUAGCUUAACUAUCUGUAUGCUAGGAAUACUGCUAUACUAGAGGGCGGGAGAGGUCUGAGGUACUACAGGGGUAGGGGUGAAAUCUUAUAAUCCUUGUAGGACCACCAGUGGCGAAGGCGUCAGACUGGAACGCGCCUGACGGUGAGGGACGAAAGCCAGGGGAGCGAACCGGAUUAGAUACCCGGGUAGUCCUGGCCGUAAACGAUGCAUACUAGGUGAUGGUACGGCCAUGAGCCGUAUCAGUGCCGUAGGGAAACCGUUAAGUGUGCCGCCUGGGAAGUACGGUCGCAAGGCUAAAACUUAAAGGAAUUGGCGGGGGAGCACCACAAGGGGUGAAGCCUGCGGUUC